ACAUGGUUAGGAGUUCUCCAGGAAACAUCAGACUGCAGGUUAACUGGGAAGUGGAAAAACAUUUGAGAAGAAGGCUUUCUAAUGGGGCAUUCAUUGCCAUUGUAAUGGAGUCCCUCCAUCUUGCUGCUGAUGGUCCACUUCUUCUCGUUCAUUCCACUUUUCCCAGCACCAGAAUAGCUCCAUGGAGUUAAUUUUUGCUUAAUAGGUUCAAAACAAGAAUAUAAUUCCAUCACAAUUCAGCUCUCCAUGUUCUCUUGGUUUCAGUGGAAGGGUGUGGCUGGACCAGUAAACAAUGUCCAUUCUUUGAUGGCUUUUUACUAAUGCAAUUUAAUUAAACAUACUGCAAUGUUUGCAA